AAUAGAUACCCCGGUAGUCCACGCCGUAAACGAUGAGUGCUAGGUGUUGGGGGGUUUCCACCCUCAGUGCUGAAGUUAACACAUUAAGCACUCCGCCUGGGGAGUACGGCCGCAAGGCUGAAACUCAAAGGAAUUGACGGGGGCCCGCACAAGCGGUGGAGCAUGUGGUUUAAUUCGAAGCAACGCGAAGAACCUUACCAGGUCUUGACAUCCCGAUGCCCGCUUUAGAGAUAGAGCUUUCCCUUCGGGGACAUCGGUGACAGGUGGUGCAUGGUUGUCGUCAGCUCGUGUCGUGAGAUGUUGGGUUAAGUCCCGCAACGAGCGCAACCCUUGAUAGUAGUUGCCAUCAUUGAGUUGGGCACUCUACUGUGACUGCCGCAGACAAUGCGGAGGAAGGUGGGGAUGACGUCAAAUCAUCAUGCCCCUUAUGACCUGGGCUACACACGUGCUACAAUGGAUGGUACAACGGGCAGCGAAACAGCGAUGUGGAGCGAAUCCCCAAAAGCCAUUCACAGUUCGG
rnacentral:rRNA from 1 species